UUUGACUGUGCAAGAUACACAGACAAAGAAAUCUAGCAUGAGUUGAGAGACUUUGGGUCCCAAUUCUUUACUUUGAUUAGACAAAGCAAACCCUUAACCACACACAAAAUCUUUAAGAAUCCUCCGAGACCAAAACUAUUUUCUAUCCUCUCAUUUCAGCAUUAUAUUGGACAAAAACUAAGAUGUUGCUAUCUUCAUUAUUAGCACCUCCUUUUUGGAUCAUUCCCAAGGAAAAAAACCAUUUGAUUUUUUCUUUUUCCUCAAUCAAAGUAAUCGUAGUGAUGUAUGUUUCAUGGAGAAAUGAUGCUUAUCACUAAAGAAGCUUUACUUAACGUUAAAAUAUGAUAUUGUUAUGUUCCUUUCGGUAAGAGGGGAAACCUGCCGCAGCUGUUACAGUCUUUGUCUUUCAAGUGCAUAUUUUGUUGUUGUAAGUAUUUUAU
rnacentral:lncRNA from 1 species